AGCGGUGGCUGUUAGCAGUUAGCGCCGCUUUUUAGCCGCUGAAUGGCAGCAGAUCUUCACGUCUUCACAGCUGAUCCCUGCAGAACUCCACUCAGUCCGGACUGGAGAAGGUUUCUGGGUUGAUGGUGGUUGACAGGCAGCUCAAAAACCCACUGUUCCACCCACUAGAGGAGAGUGCCAGGGAUUUGCCAACCAGAAACUGAGCGCCGUGCUUGAGAAUCAGAAUCAGCAGCUCCGCCUGCUGCUGCAGCUGGUGGCUCGCUCGCCUCCUAUUUCUUCUCGCUUCAUGCGCUGAGAGACACAGGAAGACAUUUACAUGAAGAGGACAAGUUGGAUGAUGACAUCUUUUUGAAUCCUUCUCCCUGAUCAACAUGUAUUAAGAAACUGGUUUCCUUCUUUUAAUGGACUCAUCUACUGUAUGUUACCCUUUGCUGAGUCAAUAAAGAUAAUGUUGAAUGGUGA